rnacentral:lncRNA from 1 species
ACCUCUGUUUUGAUUCUUCUGUGAGAAUUCUUGCUCAGGUGUGACUGGUCUUUUGCAGGAGCCCCUGUGACAGAUGGAGGCAGACAAGAAAUGAUCACAAGCUGAAUAUGCAUCGCUCUUCUUAACUCUGGCAGGAGCUUCACCACAAAUCCAUCACCACACUGCUGCAUAUGCAGCGAGCUGGACAAGGCCCUGGCUGUAGCUGAUCUGUAUGUACUCCAGCCAUGAGAUUAUCUUCGAUGCUCAGAGACAGAAGGUCAGAAGAACCUUGAGAGUUUCAUCUACAAUGAAACACCAUCCCCUUCAAGAUUACACAGUUUGAG